CCUACGGGUGGCAGCAGUGAGGAAUAUUGGUCAAUGGGCGCGAGCCUGAACCAGCCAAGUAGCGUGAAGGAUGACUGCCCUACGGGUUGUAAACUUCUUUUAUAAAGGAAUAAAGUGAGGCAUGCGUGCCUUUUUGUAUGCACUUUAUGAAUAAGGAUCGGCUAAACCCGUGCAAGCAGCCGCGGUAAUACGGAGGAUCCGAGCGUUAUCCGGAUUUAUUGGGGUUAAAGGGAGCGUAGAUGGGUUGUUAAGUCAGUUGUGAAAGUUUGCGGCUCAACCGUAAAAUUGCAAUUGAUACUGGCAGCGUUGAGUGCAGUUGAGGUAAGCGGAAUUCGUGGUGUAGCGGUGAAAUGCUUAGAUAUCACGAAGAACUCCGAUUGCGAAGGCGGCCUACUAGACUGCAACUGACAUUGAUGCUCGAAAGUGUGGGUAUCAAACAGGAUUAGAUACCCCAGUAGUC
rnacentral:rRNA from 1 species